rnacentral:tRNA from 1 species
UCCCAUGUGGUCUAGUGGUCAGGACCUGGCGCUCUCACAGCCAUGGCCCGGGUUCAAUUCCCAGCAUGGGAA